rnacentral:rRNA from 1 species
GACGAACGCUGGCGGCGUGCUUAACACAUGCAAGUCGAACGAGUGGGAACGGGUGAGUAACACGUGGGUAACCUCCCAUCAGAGGGGAUAACACUUGGAAACAGGUGCUAAACCGAUCCUGAUGGAGGGACCCGCGGUGAAUUAGCUAGUUGGUGAGGUAACGGCUCACCAAGGCUCCGAUGCAUAGCCGACCUGAGAGUGUGCUCGGCCACACUGGGACUGAUACACGGCCCAGACUCCUCCGGUAGGCAGCAGUAGGGAAUCUUCGGCAAUGGACGAAAGUCUGACCGAUCCACGCCGCGUGAGUGAAGAAGGUUUUCGGAUCGUAAAACUCUGUUGUUAGGUAAUCGGUAUCUAACCAGAAAGCCACGGCUAACUACGUGCCAGCAGCCGCGUUAAUAC